GUGGGGAAUUUUGGACAAUGGGCGCAAGCCUGAUCCAGCAAUGCCGCGUGCAGGAAGAAGGCCUUCGGGUUGUAAACUGCUUUUGUACGGAACGAAACGGUCCGGGUUAAUACCCUGGGCUAAUGACGGUACCGUAAGAAUAAGCACCGGCUAACUACGUGCCAGCAGCCGCGGUAAUACGUAGGGUGCAAGCGUUAAUCGGAAUUACUGGGCGUAAAGCGUGCGCAGGCGGUUUUGUAAGACAGGCGUGAAAUCCCCGGGCUCAACCUGGGAAUUGCGCUUGUGACUGCAAGGCUGGAGUGCGGCAGAGGGGGAUGGAAUUCCGCGUGUAGCAGUGAAAUGCGUAGAUAUGCGGAGGAACACCGAUGGCGAAGGCAAGCCCCUGGGCCUGCACUGACGCUCAUGCACGAAAGCGUGGGGAGCAAACAGGAUUAGAAACCCCUGUAGUCC
rnacentral:rRNA from 1 species